AGGGGUGAGGCUCAGUGGUAGAGCACUUGCCUAACGUGUGCAAGGCCUUGGGUUGGAUCCCCAGCACCACUA
rnacentral:tRNA from 1 species